GCCUGCGUAGCUCAAUGGUGAGCCCCUAUACUUGGUGGCCACGGAGUUUCUCAAUUUUGAGAGGAGGCGUGGGUUCGACUACCACCGCAGGCA